rnacentral:rRNA from 1 species
GACGAACGCUGGCGGCGUGCUUAACACAUGCAAGUCGAACGGAAAGGCCCUGCUUGCAGGGUGCUCGAGUGGCGAACGGGUGAGUAACACGUGGGUGAUCUGCCCCUUACUUUGGGAUAAGCCUGGGAAACUGGGUCUAAUACUGGAUAGGACCAUGCUGUAGGUGGUGUGGUGGAAAGAUUAGUUUCGGUAAGGGAUGAGCUCGCGGCCUAUCAGCUUGUUGGUGGGGUAAUGGCCUACCAAGGCGUCGACGGGUAGCCGGCCUGAGAGGGUGGACGGCGACAUUGGGACUGAGAUACAGCCCAGACUCCUACGGGAGGCAGCAGUGGGGUAUAUUGCACAAUGGGCGCAAGCCUGAUGCAGCGACGCGGCGUGGGGGAUGACGGCGUUCGGGUUGUAAACACCUUUCAGCCAUGGCGAAGCCCUUGUGGUGACGGUAGUGGUAGAAGAAGCACCGGCUAACUACGUG